UUCAUCUUGUAAAAUAAUAAUAGUAGCAUCUAUCUCAUAGGUUGCUGUGACAAGUAAGUGAAAUAGCACAAAUGCAGUGCCUGAGAGUGGAUCAUCAUAAGGAGAUAGAAGAUAAAUUGGUUUUUCCCUCUACAUAUUUGACAAAGAACACUUCUUAAUUAAAAAAUUAACUGAAAAAAGAUGCCUCUCACGAGGCCUACUUUUAUCUAGUGCCUCAUGUGCCUUUCCAAGCUACCCAGUUCUAGCAUCCAUUGCCACAGGAAGCAGAUCAUGGAGGUCCAGACCUGGCCAUAAACACUUUCCUAAAGAAGAUAUACACAGAAGAUAUGCCAACAAGCAUAUGAAAAAAAUCUCGAUAUCACUGAUCAUUAGGAAGAUGCAAAUAAAAACCACAAAGAGAUACCAUCUCACACCAGUCAGCAUGACUAUUAUUAAAAAGACAAAAAAUAACAGAUGCUGGUGAGGUUGCAGAGAAAAGAGAACACUUACACAAUGUUGGUGGGAGCAUAAAUUAAUUUAACCAUUGUGGAAAACAACAUUUCAAUUCUUCAAAGAGCUAAAAAAGAACUACCAUUGGUCCCAGAAAUCCCAUUAUUGGACAUUUCCUCAGAAGAAUAUUAUUAAUCAUUCUACUAUAAAGACACAAGCAUGCAAAUUUUCACUGCAGCACUAUUUACAAUAGAAAAUACAUGGAAUCAACCUCAAUGCUCAUCAAUGACAGAUUGUAAAGAAAAUGUUGUACGUAUACACGAUGUAAUACUGUGUAGCCAUAAACAAGAAUGAGAUCAUGUAUUUUGGGGGAACAUGGAUGGAACUGGAGACAUUUAUCUUUAGCAAACUAACAAAUGAACAGAACACCAAAUAGUGCAUGUUUG
rnacentral:lncRNA from 1 species